UAGGUGAACCUGCGGAAGGAUCAUUCACAAUGAGUGUUUUAUGGCACUCUUUAAAAAUCCAUAUCCACCUUGUGUGCAAUGUUUGUUGGGAGAGAGGCAACUCUUUCCCUUCACAAAUAUCAACCUAUAUCUUUAACAACAUUCGUCUGAUAACAUAUUAUGAAUAUACUUAAUUCAAAAUAUAACUUUCAACAACGGAUCUCUUGGCUCUCGCAUCGAUGAAGAACGCAGCGAAAUGCGAUACGUAAUGUGAAUUGCAGAAUUCAGUGAAUCAUCGAAUCUUUGAACGCAUAUUGCGCUCUUUGGUAUUCCGAAGAGCAUGCUUGUUUGAGUAUCAGUAAACACCUCAACCUCCUCUUGUUUUUUCAAAAGGAGGGUGGACUUGAGCUAUCCCAACAACCUUCACCGGUAGGCGGGCGGCUUGAAAUGCAGGUGCAGCUGGACUUUUAUCUGAGCUAAAAGCAUAUCUAUUUAGUCCUCGUCAAACAGGAUUAUUACUAUCGCUGCAGCUAACAUAAAGGAUAAUUGUCCUCAUUGCUGACUGAUGCAGGAUUUUACGACACUUUAUGUGUUGUACAACUCGAUCUCAAAUCAAGU
rnacentral:rRNA from 1 species